UUGGGUUUUCUGAUCUAUGGAGGAAGGCAAGAUCAUGAAUACUACUCAAUGCUUCUUUAAUAAAGUCAUGAACAACAAUGCAUGGAUUUUUUAUUUUAUCUUUUUGUUAGCCAAUUGCAUUGACUAGGUUGUCUGCAAAACAUGUACCGCAGGAGUAUAAAUCUAAAAAGUGUUACGUUAGUACUUAGUGAUAUGCAUUAAGUUCAGGGUUUGAUCUAGCUACCACACUACAUCCAAAUAUGCAGUAUGCACUUACAUUUCUUGUUUGUUCAGGCUUUUCAUCAUGCUAAAAUAUUUUCCUAUUGAGUCAAAAGGGAGGCAACAAAAGCUGAGAGAAGUCGGCAGAGUUGCCACCAUAUGUUUCUGUUGUUUCUCGGCACGAUGCAUAAUGAUGUGCUUCAAUGCAUUUGACGAGGAAGCUGACCUCGAUGUUCUUGACCAUCCAGUUCUGAAUUUGUUCUAUUACCUGCUUGUGGAGAUUCUCCCUUCAUCUCUUGUCCUGUACAUUCUAAGGAGGAUUCCUGCAAAGCUACGGCUAUCCCAGUAUCACCCCGUCAGCAGCAGCUAGAGACGAGGCAUUACCAUCUGCUGAGCCAAAAAUGUUGACUACUGUCAAGCUAUGAAAAAUCAACUGCAACGCCCUCUAUAUAAUAUUUGUAUUGGUAGCCUCUCUGCAAAAUAUAUAUAGGGAUAAGACUUGCCUCGGUUAUUUCUUUUCUAGACCCUACUCACAUGGAAGCCAUCCAAUAUUUUUCCGUAGCUCACCUAUUGCUAACCCUGUUAGUUCAAUCUGCUAAUUUUAUGAUUUUUAGUGUUUGAGCAUAAUGAAGGAAAGCACCAUUGUAAAACUGAACUACAUGAAAAGUUGAACAUAGAUUUUUUUCCUGGAGAUGAGUUUAACAGCGAGUUACCCUUUGGAAUCA